rnacentral:rRNA from 1 species
AACGAACGCUGGCGGCAGGCCUAACACAUGCAAGUCGAGCGCGCCCUUCGGGGUGAGCGGCGGACGGGUGAGUAACGCGUGGGAACGUGCCCUUUUCUACGGAAUAGCCUCGGGAAACUGAGAGUAAUACCGUAUACGCCCUUUGGGGGAAAGAUUUAUCGGAAAAGGAUCGGCCCGCGUUGGAUUAGGUAGUUGGUGGGGUAAUGGCCUACCAAGCCGACGAUCCAUAGCUGGUUUGAGAGGAUGAUCAGCCACACUGGGACUGAGACACGGCCCAGACUCCGACGGGAAGCAGCAGUGGGGAAUCUUAGACAAUGGGGGCAACCCUGAUCUAGCCAUGCCGCGUGAGUGAUGAAGGCCUUAGGGUUGUAAAGCUCUUUCAGCUGGGAAGAUAAUGACGGUACCAGCAGAAGAAGCCCCGGCUAACUCCGUG